CACUUCCGCCCUCACUGGUUGCCGUGGUAACAGGCCUCCGGUGGAGGGCGGGGACCCUCGGAAGCCAGCUGGGUGGCGAUCGCUUGUCUGCCUUGGCAGGCCCCUUGUGCAGUCUUUUCCCGGCGUGAGCGUGCAGGGAUUGAAAAGGAAUGCUUUAUGGUUCAGCAGAGAGCCACCACGCAGGAUGCACUGGGACCUGAGAACCGUCGGGCAGUCCCACGAGCUCUUUCAUGACCAGCUCCAACCGACAAGUACACGCCCCUUCGCACUCCACUAGCUAGUAAGCUGAGCUACAAGGUGUGCCAGGCACCCAGGACGCCGAUUCACCGCUUCAGUGAAGGCCCAGCUCAAAUGCCACCUCUUCCAUGAAGACUUCCGUGAUCCACAAUGAUAGCAUCUCCAGCAAUUGCUUCUAUAAUGAAUAGCAUGAGUCAUUCUGCAGGAUGUUGAUCUUCCUUUUUUUACUCCUAGACUGAAUUUUUCCACCACCUGGAUGAACAUAGCAGAAAGAACAUAGUGUUUUAGAGUCAGACACAAUAGGAAUCAGGCACUUUGGAAUCUUGGCUCUACCACCUUUGAGCUAUGUAUCCCAAGAGCCCUCUUUCUUCCAUUCACUUACCUGUCUAGUCAAACACCCAUCAGACCUUUGCCAGGUGUCCAGCCUGGGCACUACGUUUCAGAAAAUGAUGCACAUAGAAUCCCUAACUGAAAGGAGAUCGCAGCUCAUUUGGUACAAAGUGGCUGAUUCUUUGACUGGUGAGCCACUCCCCAGGCAGGCAUAGCAUCACAGAGUUUCUGAGAAGGUACACCCUGGAUGCAAAGCAGUGUUGCUGAAAGACUCCAUGCCAGGGCUUUUAGCCUGGGUAAGGAGCUGGAGAGAUGUGAAAAUGUGGAAAGCAAGCCUAAGUCGCAGUGUGGCCUAUGCCUGAGAGCCAUCUUCAGUGCCCCCUUGUGGCUGUAUCUGGGAACCACAGACAGAAUCAUGGAACUGACCAUCUUCAGUCUCAAAGUGCUGCCCUCACCACUACACCCAGGGGCAGGUGGUCUUCGGGGGAAAGGCGGUUCCAGUUCCUUCUCCCAAGGUAACAACUCCCAUCCCAAGGCAAUGUUCACAGAACCUAUCAGAGUCCCCCCUGCCCUAUGCACAGCUUAAGACCAGGGUGGUCUCAGCUCUGAUCAGGCCACUGAGGGCAUCUGUCUGAGAUUUGGGACCCAGUUAUUGUCCCUGUUCUUCUUAGGCAGAUGGCGGAGUUCCCCAGUACACAGAAGGUGCUCACUCUUCACAAAAAGCAGUGCUUGAGAAUAACAGCCUACCUUGGUGGAGUAGCUUCGUUAGGGCCAGGGCUUGACUUGAAGCCAGAGACUGAGGUUGCAGUCCAGCCUUGGGUCAGCCUCAGGCUGGGGCUGGGGUGAUGCUGAGACCCUCACCAGAAAAAAGGCCUUUACCCCAUCCGAAAGGAAAUGGCUAUCCUCUGACCUGAGCACUCUAGCCUGAGGCCUGCCUGGCGCUAGAAGCCAGCCUCUGUUGUCCCCUCCCAGCACUCCUCCCACUGCUCUGCCUUUCUGCCCACAUAGAAACUCUGGAGACACCAGCUCCCCACCCUUCCAAGCUAAGCCCCACUGCUGUCUCUGCCUCCUCCAUCUUUCAAACCGGCAAUGUUUUUCCAAUCAGGCCUCCCUAUCCUUCCCCUACUGCUCUGCCCUUCACUGCCUUCCUUUCCUGGCGACUCUCAGCCGCCCUUCAAGGCCCAGCUCAGGCGUUCUUUCCUCAGUGACGCACCCCCGGGCAGGCUGGGGCUUCUGGCACAGCUCUGGCCACCCUGCGUAUCUUCAGCUGUUCCCAAUGUUUGUCUCUGCUCCCAAGUAGCUCUCUCACAGUUUCUGGCACAGAGGAGUUGGCCCUGAGGGGGAUGAACAGCAAGGACAGGCAGGACAGUUCUGGCAGUAAGGAAGUUAGAACAAGGUCCUUUGGUCUCGGCUAGGAAGGGUUCCCAGGUGCUUAGUACUCACUGAACAGAAAGGAAUUAGAAAAGAGGUGGCAUCUUGUAAUCGCUAGGGUGACAGCAGGCCAGGCCUCUGCCUUUUUGGUAGAGCUGAGGCCAGGGGCAGGGAACACAGCUUGAGUGACCCAUAAGGAGCCUUCCAGCUCAGCCACCCAAGGGCCCCCCAGCUGGACAGGAGCCCUUUACCACAUGGUAGGCAUCAUGUCAAGUGGCUCCCAAUGACCCCUGCCCCCUGGCAUCCAUUCCCUGGUGUAAUCCCCUCCCGUCCAGUGGGAGCUGGACCGAGCAAUGUUCAUUUAAUGAACAGAAUAUGGCAAAAGUGACAGGAUAUCACUUCCCAGGUUAGGUUAUAAGGGCCUGGGACUUCCGUCUUGCUCGCACACUUCACUCCACUCACUGGCUCUUCUUGCUAAGUAAGCUGGUGUGCCGUGAGCUACCCCAUGGAAAGGCCCAUGUGGCAAGGAACUGAAAGUGGCCUCUGUCAACAGCCAGUGAGGAAGUCAAUCCUGCGAACAACUGCAGGAACGGCCUUGGGAGUGGAUCCUUCCUCAGCCCGGCUCCAAGACAACUGCAGCCCUGUGAGAAACCCUGAGUGGAGGACCAAGCCAAGCCUCAAAUCGUGACUUGGAACUGGGAGACAACAGAUGCUGUUGGAAGCCACUGAGCUCUGAAGUAGUUUGUUACACAGUGACAGGUAACUUACACACCAUGGCAGGGUCAUGUGGGCCAAAGGUGCAAGGGGCUAGAGGGCUCAGAGGGCAGCCAGCUGGGGACCCAGUCUUCCCCAGGUGUCAGCAGCAGAUGCAGAUGCAGCCCCAGCAAUAACUCAUAGAGGAUUCUCACUUUCAUUUAUUUUCAAGGCAUAUACAAAAGUCUGACAUGGUGCAAUGAUCUCAUCAAGAGAUAACAGAACACACAGGAGAGGGUUGGGUUUCCUCCCCGGCCCAACCCCCUCAGGAAGGCACAGAAAAGUGAGGCUUGGGUUCGGGGGCCACCUGCUUUGGAACUAAUCUGCUGCUCAGAAGGCCAGGCCCCUUCUGAAGAGGGAUCUCUUCCUCACAUCCAGAAUCUAGGAUCUGGGGAAGGUAAACUGAGGCCACCAGUAAGCAUGUGCUCCAGGCCAAGGCUGAGUCUGUGCUGCAUCCAUGUCAUCAGCCACCCAAGAAAAACCAGUUACUCCACCUAGCUCAUGGUGGCGGCAUCCUCCCUGCAAUGGUGCAUGGGGGGCAGUCCUUUCCCCUGCAGGGUGUCAUUGCCACCCCCAUCCUCAUCCUGGAGGCCAGUCCAGGCUCCGAUAUGAGUGACUAGGGGUGAGGUAGGGGUGGCAGAAGGGAGAUCAAACUGGAGCAUUCCAGAUGCCUACUACUGCCCUCACACAACGGGGCAACUGUGCUCUCCAACUCCUCCCCUUGGCAGAGAAACUGGUCCUGCAGUUUCAGGACUAGACGAGCGUGGGGUAGUGGCAAUAAAGGGGCUUGUAUGAGAAGUGGCUUUCGCCUCUCAUCCCUAGGGGCAAAAAGUGAAUCAUCUAACUGGUCCAAGUCACUAAUGGCAAUCCUUCUUCCCCAAGAAGACUGAGUUUCCUUUGUCACUUCAGGAAGGGAAGAA
rnacentral:lncRNA from 1 species